GAUGAACGCUGGCGGCGUGCCUAACACAUGCAAGUCGAGCGAAGCGCCUUACUUGAUUUCUUCGGGAUGAAAGUAUUGUGACUGAGCGGCGGACGGGUGAGUAACGCGUGGAUAACCUGCCUCAUACAGGGGGAUAACAGUUAGAAAUGACUGCUAAUACCGCAUAAGACCACAGCACCGCAUGGUGCAGGGGUAAAAACUCCGGUGGUAUGAGAUGGAUCCGCGUCUGAUUAGCUAGUUGGUAAGGUAACGGCUUACCAAGGCGACGAUCAGUAGCCGGCCUGAGAGGGUGAACGGCCACAUUGGGACUGAGACACGGCCCAA
rnacentral:rRNA from 1 species